rnacentral:tRNA from 2 species
UUAGAAGUAGUUUAUAAAAAAUAUUAAUUUGUGGAAUUAAAGAAGAGAAAAAAUUUUUCUUUUAAA